rnacentral:rRNA from 1 species
AGCGGCGGACGGGUGAGUAACGCGUAGGCAACCUGCCCUUCACAGAGGGAUAGCCUCGGGAAACCGGGAUUAAAACCUCAUAAUGCCAUAGGAAGACAUCUUCUCUUGGCCAAAGAUUUAUCGGUGAAGGAUGGGCCUGCGUCUGAUUAGUUAGUUGGUGGGGUAACGGCCUACCAAGGCGACGAUCAGUAGCCGACCUGAGAGGGUGAUCGGCCACAUUGGGACUGAGACACGGCCCAGACUCCUACGGGAGGCAGCAGUGGGGAAUAUUGCACAAUGGGGGAAACCCUGAUGCAGCAACGCCGCGUGAGUGAUGACGGCCUUCGGGUUGUAAAGCUCUGUCUUCAGGGACGAUAAUGACGGUACCUGAGGAGGGAGCCACGGCUAACUACGUGCCAGCAGCCGCGGUAAUACGUAGGUGGCGAGCGUUGUCCGGAUUUACUGGGCGUAAAGGGAGCGUAGGCGGACUUUUAAGUGAGAUGUGAAAUACCCGGGCUCAACUUGGGUGCUGCAUUUCAAACUGGAAGUCUAGAGUGCAGGAGAGGAGAAUGGAAUUCCUAGUGUAGCGGUGAAAUGCGUAGAGAUUAGGAAGAACACCAGUGGCGAAGGCGAUUCUCUGGACUGUAACUGACGCUGAGGCUCGAAAGCGUGUGGAGCAAACAGGAUUAGAUACCCUGGUAGUCCACGCCGUAAACGACGAAUACUAGGUGUAGGGGUUGUCAUGACCUCUGUGCCGCCGCUAACGCAUUAAGUAUUCCGCCUGGGGAGUACGGUCGCAAGAUUAAAACUCAAAGGAAUUGACGGGGGCCCGCACAAGCAGCGGAGCAUGUGGUUUAAUUCGAAGCAACGCGAAGAACCUUACCUAGACUUGACAUCUCCUGCAUUACCCUUAACCGGGGAAGUUCCUUCGGGAACAGGAAGACAGGUGGUGCAUGGUUGUCGUCAGCUCGUGUCGUGAGAUGUUGGGUUAAGUCCCGCAACGAGCGCAACCCUUAUUGUUAGUUGCUACCAUUUAGUUGAGCACUCUAGCGAGACUGCCCGGGUUAACCGGGAGGAAGGUGGGGAUGACGUCAAAUCAUCAUGCCCCUUAUGUCUAGGGCUACACACGUGCUACAAUGGCAAGUACAAAGAGAAGCAAUACCGCGAGGUGGAGCAAAACUCAAAAACUUGUCUCAGUUCGGAUUGUAGGCUGAAACUCGCCUACAUGAAGCUGGAGUUGCUAGUAAUCGCGAAUCAGAAUGUCGCGGUGAAUACGUUCCCGGGCCUUGCACACACCGCCCGUCA